rnacentral:SRP_RNA from 6 species
CCGUGCUAGACGGGGAGCUAGCGGUGCCCUGUAACCCGAGAUCCGCUCUAGCGGGGUUGAAAGUCCUUCAGGAGAAUGGGGCUAUGGAGUUCAACCGACUGCCUGUGAGACGGGAUGGACCUCACGUGACAUCCGCCUGUGAACCCCGUCAGAUCCGGGAGGAAGCAGCGGUAAGCAGGAACGGUUGUGUCGUGAUGGUAUCUAUCCCCAGGCUCCGGAAGAAGGUGACUUCAGAUGCGCCUUUCGACUGGGGAUGCACGG